rnacentral:piRNA from 1 species
UAAAAGUGUUUCAAACAUAAA